rnacentral:rRNA from 1 species
GACGAACCGUGCGAACGUUGUUCGGAAUCACUGGGCUUAAAGGGAGCGUAGGCGGGCUGCCAAGUCCGGGGUGAAAUCCUCCAGCUUAACUGGAGAACUGCCUCGGAUACUGGAAGUCUCGAGGAGGGUAGGGGCAAGUGGAACCGUGGGUGGAGCGGUGAAAUGCGUUGAUAUCCAUGGGAACUCCGGUGGCGAAGGCGACUUGCUGGACCCUUUCUGACGCUGAGGCUCGAAAGCCAGGGGAGCAAACGGG